rnacentral:snRNA from 1 species
GUGCUUGUGUUGGCAGCACAUAUACUAAAAUUGAAAUGAUACAGAGAAAAUUAGCAUGGCCCCACUGUGCAAGAGUGACUAGCAAAUUCGUGAAGCAUGUCAUAUUUAA